rnacentral:rRNA from 1 species
UACGAAGGGGGCUAGCGUUGCUCGGAAUCACUGGGCGUAAAGGGUGCGUAGGCGGGUCUUUAAGUCAGGGGUGAAAUCCUGGAGCUCAACUCCAGAACUGCCUUUGAUACUGAAGAUCUUGAGUUCGGGAGAGGGAUGCGGAAUUCCAGGUGUAGCGGUGAAAUGCGUAGAUAUCUGGAGGAACACCGGUGGCGAAAGCGCCCGACUGGACCUCUUCUGACGCUGAGGCGCGAAAGCCAGGGGAGCAAACGGG